rnacentral:lncRNA from 1 species
UCAGCUGAGUUGCUGCGCUCCUCCUGGGCCCCGUUGGACCCACUCAGCACUGUAACCGUUGUCUCGGGACCAGGACCACACAUCUGCUUACCUGCUUUCCUGGCCAGCCUUUGAGCCCCAUGCGAGCAGGGAGAAGCUGUCUUCUUUCCACUUGGGCCCCUGUUCUGACUAGAAUUGAAAUCUCAUGAGUGUCUCUGCCUCGUGUGCCAUCUCUUCUGUAUCAAGGGUUGAAGGAACACAGGUCACAGGUCAGUAAGUACCAUCUCAAAGAUGGUGACACUCAGUCUCAAUGUUACUUACCAUCAUGGCCACACCGGGGACAGUAUUGCAAGGAUGUCACUCUUUUUUUUUUUUCCCAAAAAAAAGUAAAUGUUUUUGCACACUGCAAACAUGGCUGAGUGACAGUCUCAAGGUGGAAAGAAGAGAAAUAUCAGCACUAAGAGUCCAGCUGAGAAAUGAGAGAGCAGAAGUCAGUCCACGUGCCAGGGCAGCAGCUAAGCAAAGAAGACCUCCCUGUGCCCAGUGGUCCAGGCAGAUGAAGCAGAGCCCAGGCAGCUCUAAAACUGGUAGGCUUCCUUAAUGAGCCCACCACACACACUCCUUCUACCCAAAGAUGGCACCGAGCUUCCCUCCAGGAACUCCCUCGCCCCUCAGCCAACUCCCCACCCAAUCCCCUCUUCCCUAGGCUGAUAGUUAUACAUAUCAGACCAUAUACAAGCACGGUGGAAAUGAAU